AGAGUUUGAUCCUGGCUCAGGACAAACGCUGGCGGGGUGCAUGAGACAUGCAAGUCGAACGGGGUGCCAUCGGGCUUGCUCGAUGGUUACCUAGUGGCGGACGGCUGAGUAACGCGUAGGUGGCCUACCCGGAAGUGGGGAAUAACUGCCCGAAAGGGUGGCUAAUACCGCAUGUGGCCGGCGAUUCGAUUCGCCGUCUAAAGGAGAAAUCCGCUUCCGGCGGGGCCUGCGUCCGAUUAGCUAGUUGGUGGGGUAACGGCUCACCAAGGCGACGAUCGGUAGCUGGUCUGAGAGGAUGAUCAGCCAGACUGGGACUGAGAACGGCCCAGACUCCUACGGGAGGCAGCAGUCGGGAAUUUUGCCCAACGGACGAAAGUCUGAGGCAGCAACUCCGCGUGAGGGAUGAAGGCUCUCGGGUCGUAAACCUCUUUUCUCAGGGAAGAUCCAAGACGGUACCUGAGGAAUAAGCGACGGCUAACUACGUGCCAGCAGCCGCGGUAAUACGUAGGUCGCAAGCGUUGUCCGGAUUUACUGGGCGUAAAGCGCGCGCAGGCGGCUGGUCAAGUCCGAUGUGAAAUCUCCCGGCUCAACUGGGAAACUGCAUUGGAAACUGAUCGGCUUGAAGGUGGGAGAGGGUAGUGGAAUUCCCGGUGUAGUGGUGAAAUGCGUAGAUAUCGGGAGGAACACCAGUGGCGAAGGCGACUACCUGGCCCAUUCUUGACGCUGAGGCGCGAAAGCUAGGGGAGCGAACGGGAUUAGAUACCCCCGUAGUCC
rnacentral:rRNA from 1 species